UUUAUCCCCUUCUUCAUACUGCAUCAUAUCAUGCCUAGAGGUCCAUGCCAGGAGGGCCAUGCCUAGAGAGCCAUGCAAAGAGGAUUAUGCCGAGAGGGCCAUGCCUAAAUGGCCAUUCCAAAAAGAUCAUGCUAUAAGGGUCGUGUCCUGAGAAUCAUAUUGCCUUCUCCGACUAGUUUCGAAGGGGCUACAAUCCAAGGGCAUCUACAUAUUGCAUUUGAUGCCCAUGAUUGAUUCAAAGUCUUCUAUAUCCGUUGAUCAUAUAAAGACGAAAGAGUCUAUUAUUGAAGGAUAUUCUAAAGCGUUUCAUACAUAUCCGAUAAUCAUAUGAAGAUAAAAGAGUCUAGCAUUGAAGGAUACUCCGAAGCAUCCACAUAUAAUCAAAUCACGCAAAGGCAAAGUAGUAUGGCAUUGAGAGAUAUUCAUCGUCUUCAAGUGCAUCAAUCACUAAAGAUUUAAUGUCAUUCACUAUUAGAUCUCAAGAAAUAUAUGGUCCAUAGGAUGUUUAUAAGUCACUAGCCGAAAACGUGCACGUACUAGAUUUUCCAAGAAUUGACAAUCUGAGGGUCAUCUAUAAGUGACAUUAUUUGAUAUAGGAUAGUGUGAAAGAUUAUCCACGAGUUGAUAGCCCAUGGGUCAUCCGUAAGCCGCAAAAUAUCCUAAUCGGAUAGUGUGCAAGGUUACCCGAAGAUUGACAAUUUGAAGGUUAUCCGUAAGUCACAACUAAAUCCUUAUCAGAAAAUAUUCAAGAUUAUCAAAUAUGAUAGGUCCAAGGGUUUUCUAUAAGCCAUGUCAUAUCCAAGAUCGAUUAUGCGCAGGAUUACGCAAAGACCACUAAUUUGAGAGAUAUUUGUAAGCCAUAUUGUAUUCAAGGUCGGAUAAUGUACAGGAAUACAUGAUAGAUGGCGAUUGGAGGGAUAUUUGUAAGUCAUCUCUUAUCCAAGGUCGAAUAAUGUGCGGGAUUACUCAAACGCCAAGGAGCUCAAAGGAUGUCUACAAGUCGCCGCGUAUCUAACAUUAAAUAAUGCACAAGAUUAUCCAAAAAUUGAUAAUUCAAGGGGAAAUCUAUAAGUCGUACCACUACAAGAGGUGCACAAGACUCUUGAGGUCAAAUACGACAAGCAUUAUAGGUGACCAAAAGGGUUGCCACACAAUCAUAUAGAUAUGCGGUUGCAGGGACCGCUCCAUACAAAGUGUCGUCGGUGCCUAAGAGGCCCACCCCACUUUGAAGAAAAUUUAUAACCGUCAAAAUAACCAUUUUAUCCAACACUGUGUUGAUUAUUGCAAGAAUUAUCACCCUCCAAACAGGUACAUAAGGGGAUGAUAUCUUCGUUAAGUAGCAACUCACGCGGAGAUACGGUAAAAGGCUAUAAAUCCCUUAGUGAAUUAUGUUUAUUACUAACAAUUUUGUUUGAGAUGUUGUCAAGAGCAUCCAAGAGGAUGAAAAUCUCAAACCAAAACCAUAGGUGCGGAUGACUAAAAAAAGAACGCAACACAACGUGAAACUUUUUCUUAGCAGCGAACUGGGACAUAGUCCAAAGAGGAAUAUCAAAUUCUUAGGACGCAAGCUAAAAGACGACUUCCACCACCAUUAAACCAUAUCACUAUCAGAAGGCUUGUGGGUGUUUUGGGAUUUUUGUUUCAGUUUCACUUUUGGAGUACUUCAAAUCUUAGACCGAGGGUAACCUUCUUUUUCCUUCAAAUCAGAGUGACAACACACUCAGAGUUUGGAAAUUGUGUCGGGGUAAAUUCUUCCCCAUGGAUGUAAAGAGCUCCAUAUUCAUGGUUAAGAGGUUACAAACCUCUUUUCCAUAACUUAAUCGUCUGUUACUCAUCCCGGUCCAAAGAUUGUCUAAAAUAAAAGACUAUCUUUUCUACCAAUUGAGUCGAACUACAAGAAGUCUGAUUUCCUGAGUCUCAGGGAUAUGUAGGUUAGGAUCUUCGUUGAAAACUCGACUGCAUUCCAACCUUCCCCAAUCCACUUAUUCUCCACCUUAUUUUUAACACCUUAUUUUUUCCCUGCACGACUAAGUUCAAUACUGAGUUUCUUUGAUUUUUAAUAAAAUGACAACAUUCAACAUUUAUUUUAUCCAAAUAAAAAUUUUUCAAAAUAUUUAUCUAGGUAAUUUUAGUCAUUUUAAUUAACUAUUACAUGUUUUUUUAGUUCCAUAUAUGAGAUCAUAUAAUUUUACAAAAAAUUAAAUUUUAAUCAAGGGUUAUCUAGAAUAUGGAUUCAAAUGGAUAAAUCCUUGAUUUAAAAAAUAAUUUAUCCUUAAAAUAAUUUAUUUAAAAAAUAUUUAUUUGAUUUUAUUGAAUCAAGAAGCUUGGGAUUGAAUUGGUUGUUAAUUUGUUUCAAAUAUUAUUUCAAUUUAGUUAAUUUAUUAAAUUAAAACUUAAUUGAAAAUCAAAUUGAUCAUAAUUGACAUGCAAUUGAUCAAUUGAAUUUUAAUUAGGAUAAAAUUUAAAUAUAAUUGUCUAAACUCUCAUUUUGACUAUUUAACAAAUGACCUAAACCCCCAAUUCCUAAUCUACCCAAAAUUUGACCCAUGUUCCUAAAUAGCACAAGACUAGACCAACAACAAUAAAAACCAAAUCAGCAGCCCAAAAAUAUCCUAAAUACCCAGCCCACAUCAAAUCAAUCCACCAGCAGCCCAAAAACCGAUCCGGCCCAAAUCCCUUAAGUUUCCCAAAUAGCCUCAAUACACACCUAUACGUACAUACACCACACGCACACAAGCGCCUCACCUCUAUUAUCUCUCUCCGACUUCUUUCUCUCCCAAAAAACAUCGACUUUAGCAAACCACCAACACACCCAAUGAAGAACAACCCAGCACCGACGAUCCCAAAUAUAGCGUCGGCGAUCCGACAUCAACGAAGAAACAGCAACAGCUGCUAUAUCAAUAUCAAUAGCAGCUGCUACAAAAUUUCCAACCCGACCCAACACGCGAAUAGUUUCAUUCAACCCAAUGGUAAUGACCCUUAAAUCACGAAAAACAUCUCUCUCCAUCUUUGUCUCUGCAUUUUGCAGACCUAGAGCCAUCCUUUUUGACUUUCUUGCUCAAGAUUGUGUGUUACAAAACCCAAAAUCCAAUCCAAAUCAGAAGAUGUCAAUUCAAAUCUGAAUUUCAGGAUAUGUUUCUCUAUUUUUAAAGAUGAAAAAUCAAUAUUCCCCCCUAUAAAUAGGGAUUGAGAAGAAGAAGGCAAGGAGAGAAUUCUUGGGGGAAAAUUGGGGGUUCUGAAGAAUCGGGUUUCAGUGGUGGAAGUUGCAACUUGAUAAGAUCGUUUGUUCCGUUCGCUGCCCGAGAACAAUCCAAUAUCAUCGAGUCAUACUUCAAGGCCCAAAAGUGGGUAGGUCAAGUUGAAGAAGAUGUGUAGCUAAACGCUUCAUAAGGGAGCUAGUAUAUAGGUGGAAGACCCAAAAUUCAUUUAUAUAUGACAAAUGUGCGGUCACCAAACAUACAAAGCAUGGAGAAUAGGGGUUGUGUACGUGUGGUAAAAUGAUCAAAGUCUAUAAAAUGGGAAGCCCAAAGCUGGGCAGCUCAGUGAUAGGCCAAAAGUGGCCCAACGCUUACCUUAAUCUUUUAUUCUCUUAUGAAUUGUCACUUGUAUAAUUGUCUAUUUGUAUUAGUUCUAAUUUUACUUAA